AUACUCUGAGAGGCGAUGGGGAGCCGCUUAGCGGCAUAAACUGACCCUAAUCAGGCUGCCAAGAAAAACCUCUAUGUGAAUUCUGUAGGUGCCCGUACCGCAAACCGACACAGGUAGAUGAGGAGAGUAUCCAAAGGUGCGCGAGUGAACCCUCGUUAAGGAAUUCGGCAAAAUAAUCCCGUAACUUCGGAAGAUGGGAUGCCCUAAGUAGGUGAAGCCCCUCGCGGGUGGAGCCCAAAAGGGCCGCAGAGAAACGGGCUGGGCGACUGUUUACCAAAAACACAGGUCUCUGCUAAGCCGCAAGGCAAUGUAUAGGGACUGACACGUGCCCGGUGCCGGUAAGUUAAGAGGAUGAGUUAGUCUUCGGACGAAGCUUUGAAUCGAAGCUCCGGUAAACGGCGGCCGUAACUAUAACGGUCCUAAGGUAGCGAAAUUCCUCGUCGGCUAAAAACCGACCUGCACGAAUCGUGUAACGACUUGGCCGCUGUCUCAACGAGGGACUCGGUGAAAUUGUAGUUCCGGUGAAGAUGCCGGAUACCCGCGGCAGGACAGAAAGACCCCGUGAACCUUUACUAUAGCUUGGUAUUGGAUUUUGACACUGUAUGUGUAGGAUAGGUGGGAGGCUUUGAAGCGGGAGCGCCAGCUCUCGUGGAGCCAAUCUUGAAAUACCACCCUUGCCUUGUUAAAAUUCUAACCUAAUCCCUUGAUCGGGAUUGGAGACAGUGCCAGGUGGGUAGUUUAACUGGGGCGGUUGCCUCCUAAAGCGUAACGGAGGCGCCCAAUGGUUCCCUCAGCGCGGUCGGUAAUCGCGCGUAGAGUGUAAAGGCAUACAGGGAGCUUGACUGCGAGACUUACAAGUCGAGCAGGUGCGAAAGCAGGGCUUAGUGAUCCGACGGUUGCAUGUGGAAGCGCCGAAGCUCAACGGAUAAAAGGUACUCCGGGGAUAACAGGCUUAUUGCCCCCAAGCGCUCAUAGCGACGGGGCAGUUUGGCACCUCGAUGUCGGCUCAGCGCAUCCUGGGGCUGGAGAAGGUCCCAAGGGUUUGGCUGUUCGCCAAUUAAAGCGCUACGCGAGCUGGGUUCAGAACGUCGUGAGACAGUUCGGUCCCUAUCCGCCGUGGGUGUAGGAUAUUUGAGGAGAUCUGACCCUAGUACGAGAGGACCGGGUUGGACGGACCUCUGGUCAACCAGUUGUUCCGCCAGGAGCAUCGCUGGGUAGCUACGUUCGGAAGGGAUAAACGCUGAAAGCAUCUAAGCGUCAAGCCCACUCCAAGACUAGAUAUCCCGUAGGGUUAACCUACCUGAAGGCCCCUCGUAGACUACGAGGUUGAUAGGCUGCAGGUGGAAGCGCAGUAAUGCGUGAAGCCGAGCAGUACUAAUUGGCCGUGAGGCUUGACC
rnacentral:rRNA from 1 species